AUAGCUUCUCGGCCUUUUGGCUGAGAUCAAGUGUAGUAUCAAACAGACAUACUAAGAGAUACUAGUACUUUUUAAAAUAUACCUUUU
ensembl:snRNA U2 U2 spliceosomal RNA